AAUGUCGAGCAAAGUGAAACUGUGGUCAAAUUCCUUGUUUGUGGACAAAAACUUGAAUAAAGCCGAUUCUGAUUCCAUUUUUGUAUCCAAAAGACUUUUCGAAUUUGAGUCUUUUAAACUGCCCUUGCCACUGGUUGCCUUGGAAACCAAAAGCACCAGUCAGACUGAUCAUAUCAAAACAAACAACAAACUUGCAAGAACAUAUUGGACAUCUGCCACUGCUGAACGAGCUGGAUCACAAGUGGAAGACAUUGAAGCGGAUGUCAAGAGCAACAAGAGUGACAAAUUUACCAGAGAAUUAUAGUGGCAUCAACAGGAACAAAAUCCACGAUGAGUUGAGCAGAGCUGAUGACAGAAAACAUGACGAGCCAUCCCAUUCUGCUGAGGGCAGACUGCAAUUUGGGAGCCUUUCAACUUUUCCUAAACAGGUUACCAAAACUGGAAAGACUUAUAUCCGUGACAGGUGUGAGAAUAAUUUCCUAAGAAAACACAUUCGAUAGUCCAUCAACACAUCCACACCGCGUCGUCUAUCCCAAGCAAAUGUGCACUUUCUGUCCCCUCCGAUGGCACCAUCUAGUGGCUUAAACGACCAACUACAACCCGAUUGUAAAGGAACAUUUUAUUCACACGGAAAGAAACAUCGACUUGUAAAUUGAUUUUUUUUUAGUUAGAAGAAUAACACCUGCUUGUGUCUGAAUAAACGAUCUCAAACAGGAAUACACAGGGUGAAAUAAUAAUAAUAAUAA